GGGUGCCCAUGGGGCUGGGGAUCAGAAAUGUCCCGUGCGAGAGAGGUUUCCAGGGUUAGAGUAGUGCAGAAGUUGUCAUAUGCUGAGGCAGUGAAAAAAGUAGAGGUAGAUGGGUCAAGGGGGAGUGAUCCUGAGAGUCGUGGUGUAAGUAGAAGAUCUGUACCAGUACAGAGGGAUAGGCCAACAAGUGAUAUGUUUCAGUAAGAUUGGCUGAAACAUAUAUUGGCUGAAACAGAAGACAUUUAUAGCAAUGGUUAUCAGCUGUACUGCAUGUAUGAAACGUAAGUCACAGAAAAUUGAGUUUGUGGUGGCAGCUGCAGAGAGGUAUUUGGGUGCACGAGACUUGACAUCAGAAGAGUUCCAGAGUGUGUUAAGUGGUGAUAUCCCAUCCUUUCAGGUUGUUGGCCUGGAGUAGGACUAAAUUGAUUUAAAUAGUGGAGUAGGGUGGCUCAACCACGAUGAAAGGAGGCGUGCAAAAAAACACAACUUUAAACUUUGCAUGGAGCCGUUUUAGUGUCAGUGACACAGAGAUGUCAAUAUGAAAAUGUCAAUAUGAAAAUGUGUGUGUGUGUGUAUAUAUAUAUAUAUAUAUGAACAUUUACUCACAAGCAUCAUCCUCAUGGAGAGACUUUCCAGAUUUCAGACCUUUAGAUAAUGAAAUGUAAAACACGCAUCACAUCUUGCGUUUGGUUCUGACUACAUUGUAUAAUGAAAAUACGAUACAUGUUUAAUUAUACAAGACAAUGGCUUUUACGAUUCCAAAAACAAUUAACACAAAUUUGAUAUGUAGCCUUGAGCUACAUGGUGGUCUGGUGAAUCCUGUUUUGUUGCAUGGCCUGAAAGGGCAUGUGUAUCAGACCACCUUAGUUUCUAUUUAACGUGCCAAUAGAGAAGCUUCUGUUACUACCGUUAUGUAUCUUGAUUUAGCAACCACAUGUUUAUCUGAUAUUAAUCAUUCCUAUGGCAAAAUACUAUGUUGCUAUCUAGGUGUAAUCUCGCUAUUUGAUUAAAGGCUGUUGUUACGCACGCCCCUAGGAAGAGGGAACGCAACACCCUGCUACAACUCAGCUCCCCGUGGAGUGAAAAAAACAUAUGGGAUUGUAGGUGUGAGUAAGGAUGACAAAGGCAGAGAAUUUACCGUUUACUGGGAAUUUAUUCCUUUACACGGUUAAUUUGGGGAAAAGGGGCUGAACAGAACCAAAGAAAGUAAAUGCCACAGCCCCCUCUCCUACCUUACCUGCCUACCCACUACGUACAUAACUUAGCACCACCUGGUGCGCUAACCAAAAUACAGGGGGUGGUCCACCCAGGUCUUUCCUAUUGUGCAUAGACAGUUAAUACUACGGCUUAUGUAUGCCCGCAGGCCUCUUGCCUAAGCACUCCAUAGGUGCCUUCCCCUUCCUCCCUGGGAACAAAUGAAACAGAAUAUUACAAACUACUUCACAAAAAAAACUGAGAAACAACUAAUACAGGACAUAACCAUCAGCUCUCUCUCAGCAACAUUAACCAAAAUACAGGACAUAACCAUCAGCUCUCUCUCAGCAACAUUAACCAAAAUACAGGACAUAACCAUAAGCUUGCUUUCUCGCUCUCUCUGUGUCUCACCUCUCAGAUGGGCUUCAGUGAAACAUGGAAAAAAUCUCACCUCUAAUUAGUCCACACCCUUUAAUUAUAUGCAUAAAACAUGUAGCCCUGUCCUAUCCUUACAACAAUAUUGUUUACAGAAAAUACACGCAACGAUCUUGAUCUCUUGACAGUAAUGUUGACUUUCUUUUCUUCUAGAUAUCCCUCCGUUCUGAUUUAAUUCUUAUAUCUUCAAUUAUACAGAUGACUUUGUGGUUCAUUUUAUACUUUUGUUGAUGUAUUUCUAUAGGCCGUAAACUCCAGUGUUUCCUUUUUCUAUUUUUACAGGAUGUUGAACUUUUUUUAUGUGCUUAAGUUGAGUCUCCUUCAGUUUCCCAGUAAGUGACCAUUUCUUCACAUUUAACAUUUAAAAUCACGAGGCAGUAAGCUGCUGAUAUCAUCAUAUAAACAAAUUUGGUGCUCUUUACCAUAAUUCAAAUUGCGUUUUGUCUCUUAUAAGAUGAUGUCUGAGAGUAAAAAAACAUCAUCCAGUUGGCCAUUUGCUCAGAUAUCCUCUGUCAAGACCCUUGGAUCAGAGGGACAAGGACUAUGACUCCUUCACCUCCACCUUUCACUUUGAGGACCCUCUAUUUCCCCCUCACCGCAUCCCCAAACCUGUCCCUCCUCCACUGCUCCGACCCACACCACCACCCCCAGACGAGGACCCAUACAGGCCCAUUAAGCCCCCUAAUACCUCUGAUCCCUCUGUCCCUCCUUUCAAAGGCGCUGUCCAACCUAUCACAGGUAUUGUAUAUAUAUCCUCCCUGUUUUCUUAGUGGAAACUGUGAUCACUUAUGUGGCCCUCUGCCCUUCCCCCCCACCAGCCCUAGCCCUGUGCACCCAACCCUCAGACUCCACACGCGGGGACACAGACCAAGGUGUGCCCAUACAACGAAACGGAAUCCCUCCCGUCCAUGUUUUCACAGCCUCUGAUAAGGAGCAGCCCGGAGUAUUCAUUUUGCCCUCUACCCCCAGUGGCCAACCAGACAGAUUGGCCCCCAUCCCGCCCUGUAACCCAUAUUUGUACUUCCUUCAGGACAGAGCACAAACACGAGGGCGGAGGCAGCAGAGGGACUUCCUGGACCCAUCUUUGUAUUCCCAUCUGAGGUGGCCACUGGGAUGGGAAACAGUGGGGUUAACAUGUUGUCUCCUCCCCUACGACCUGACUCUGUUCCUCCUCCCAUCCUCACUUACCCUGGUGUUUUUAUUCCCAUCAUAGGAGAAAACAUCGGACAUAGAUAAUCGCCUGCUGAGAUUCAGACUUCACUGAUUCAAAGUAGUUUUCCCCAGUUCACCCCACAGAUACCCAGCUACUUUUGUAUUGAAAGUAGCUGGAGAUUAAACUAAAUAAAUGUAUAAUGCUGACUAUUAUAUAACAAUCCACACUGUCAAUCGUUGGGUCUUUCUAUACUUAAUUCAUAUUUCUGUUUACCAUUGGAUGUAAAAAAAUUAUCUGCAAUAAAUGAAUAAAACUUGUGUGUUGCGAUUUUACAGCGUAUCUGUGCACAUUUUGGGAAGAAAUACUACCAUUUAAUUAAUGAAUAUUAGAUAAUGGCAUUUUAAUGUGCAGCAUGAUUGUAGCUUCUCUGCUUCAGGAAAAUGUGUAUUGGUCUAUUUGUUUUUCUGUGUUUACGCAAAUCAUUCCUGAGGAAUGAGGGUGUUCCUUUGGUUUGGUGGUAUGAUAUAAUAAAAAAAUCAUUCUCCCUUUAAUGACUACUGUAAAGUCUUGACAGAAUAUUGCCCUGGGUCUAAAAUUCUGUUUUAGUAGUUUACUGGGCUUAUAGUUUUUUCUUCAAAUUACAUUGGUUCGUCUGUAUCUUAUUUCCGUUACUGUCUCAUUCAACACUUUGGGGGAUUUAAUGUUGAAGUUUCUAUUCUUCAAAUAUAGACUAGACUAAAGUAUAUACCAGUAUUGCCAUAUAUACCAGUAAAUGUGUCAGCAAAUGUAAUGAAUUAUUAUGGAGUGACACUUGGUUUAUCCCACGCACCAAAUCAUGCAUAUAAGCAUACCCCAUUCAUAGUGUCUAUUGUUCAUUCAUACAUCCCAUUUGAUUCUAUAGUAUUCUUAUUAGUGCUGGAUAUACAGCAGGAACUUUUAAUUUGUAUUCAUUGGGACUGUAUACCCCUUCCUUUUUAUGCUGAAGAGGAGAGGAUACUCAACCUAAUCAAGGUAAUGCUUAGAAUAAAAUUGAUUUUCUACUAGUCUUUGCCAUAUACAGUCGAAUGAAAAAGUUUGGGAACCCCUGACAAUUUCCAUGAUUUCCAUUUAUAAAUAAUUGGGUGUUUGGAUCAGCAAUUUCAUUUUGAUCUAUCAAAUAACUGAUGGACACAGUUUUAUUUCAGUAGUGAAAUUAGUUUUAUUGGAUUAACAGAAAAUGUGCAAUAUGCAUCAAAACAAAAUUAGACAGGUGCAUAAAUUUGGGCACCCCAAUAGAAAAAACACAUCAAUAUUUAGUAGAGCCUCCUUUUGCUAAAAUAACAGCCUCUAGACGCUUCCCAUAGCCUCUAAUGAGUUCCUGGAUGAAGGUAUUUUGGACCAUUCCUCCUUACAAAACAUCUCCAGUUCAGUUAGGUUUGAUGGUUGCCGAGCAUGGACAGCCCGCUUCAAAUAUCCCACAGAUUCUCAAUGAUAUUCAGGUCUGGGGACUGGGAUGGCCAUUCCAGAACAUUGUACUUGUUCUUCUGCAUAAAUGCCCCGGGUAGAUUUUGAGCAGUGUUUUGAGUCGUUGUCUUGUUGAAAUAUCCAGCCCCGGCAUAACUUCAACUUUGUAACUGAUUCUUCAACAUUAUUCCCAAGAAUCUGCUGAUAUUGAGUGGAAUCCAUGCGACCCUCAACUUUAACAAGAUUCCCAGUACCGGCACUGGCCACACAGCCCCACAGCAUGAUGGAACCCCCACCAAAUUUUACUGUGGGUAGCAAGUGUUUUUCUUGGAACGCUGUGUUCUUUUGCCGCCAUGCAUAACGUCCCUUGUUAUGACCAAAUAACUCAACCUUUGUUUCAUCAGUCCACAGCACCUUAUUCCAAAAUGAAGCUGGCUUGUCCAAAUGUGCGUUUGCAUACCUCAACCGACUCUGUUUGUGGCGUGUGUGCAGAAAAGGCUUCUUCCGCAUCACUCUCCCAUACAGCUUCUCCUUGUGCAAUGUGCGCUGAAUUGUUGAACGAUGCACAGUGACACCAUCUGCAGCAAGAUGAUGUUGAAUGUCUUUGGAGGUGGACUGUGGGCUGUUUUUGACCGUUCUCACCAUCCUUCGCCUUUGCCUCUCCGAUAUUUUACUUGGCCUGCCACUUCUGGCCUUAACAAGAACUGUGCCUGUGGUCUUCCAUUUCCUCACUAUGUUCCUCACAGUGGACACUGACAGCUUAAAUCUCUGCGAUAGCUUUUUGUAGCCUUCCUCUAAGCCAUAAUGUUGAACAAUCUUUGUUUUCAGGUCAAUUGAGAGUUGUUUUGAGGCCCCCAUGUUGCCACUCUUCAGAGGAGAGUCAAAGAGAACAACAACGUGCAAUUGGUCACCUUAAAUACCUUUUCUCAUGAUUGGAUGCACUUGUCUAUGAAGUUCAAGGAUUAAUGAGCUCACCAAACCAAUUGUGUGUUCCAAUUAAUUUGUGCUAAGUUACAGGUAUUCAAAUCAACAGAAUGACAAGGGUGCCCACAUUUUUGCAUAGCCUAUUUUUCACAUCUGAUUUAAUUUCAUGCAACUUAAUAUUGCUACACUAAAAAUCUUUGUCUGGACAAUACCCCAGUACUCAGCUUUUAUUAGAAAAUGAAUGGCAUGCCACUGUGAUCAUUUUCUGUGACGACAGAGUAAAUUAUUAUGCAGCCUCAGAGUGGUGCCCAAACUUUUUCAUACGACUGUAGUGUUGAAUGGUCAAAUGGUCCUGUGUUUUGGACAAUCAUAUCACAUGACCUGGAUUUGAACCUUUAUUUCAAGCUUUUUCAACAACCUGUCUCCUUUUCUUUUUAUGUCAGAUGGUCCAGCUCCAUCCGCAGAUAAAUGCUUUCAUUUUUUGGUGUAAUUCUAAUUCCUGGCGUAAAUAACAGUUCAAAUCUAGGUCAUGAGACAUGACAGUUCAAAACACAUGGCCCUAUAGAAUGAAUAAUGUUCAAUUAUAAUGUAUUCAAUAAACCUUUGGUACUCAACAUUGUUUGUCAAGUUUACUAUGUUAAAAAAAGUGACAUUUAUUUUACUCUUUCAGAAAUGAAGGAAAAGAAAUUGGAGAUUUUGAGGACCGCCUUCUAUAUUUUAUUUGUGGCAACAGUAGCAUCUUCAAAACCAGUCAGUCUACAUGGAUUCCAAUUUAGAAGCAUGAUGGCUGACAGCCUGGAAUUGUCUGAGUCCUCGGAGUCCAGCAAGUCUUCCUCAGAGAAUGGUCAGCCAAUGGUCGCUGGUACUGAGAUCGCAAUAACAGACACUCAGGAGGAGACAGACCCACCAGACAGUGAAGCUAUAGCCUCUGAAACAGCCUCAGAAGUUGAUGAUGCUUUAAUUGCUUCACAAACCACACUUCAAACGGAUGCCUCAUCAGCAGAUGCACUAAAUGGGACAGACACUGAGGCUACCUCACAGCAUCCAGUCCUCGUCGCAUUGACUGAUUCUCCCAGUCUGACUUCUGAUAAUGUCACAACCCAUAUAUGGUCUAUGGUCACAACGGCUCUGCCAUCAUUCACUGACACAGCCACAAUUCAAACAUUAUAUGUGGGCACAACUUCUCCCCCGGGCCCAUACCACAUACCCAUUAUGGAGCAGCCAACUCCUCCACCAGUCUCCCCAAUACCAAGCCUAACUCCCCAGCAGCUAGUUCCAUUGGGAACCACUGAUGACAUAGCUGGUGUACCAGGUUGUUUUACUGUAGUAUACAUAACCAGCCCUCAUGCUCAGCCAGUUCCUGUUAGAGGUGAUAACAUUUAAAGCAGAGAGGAAAUUAUUAUAUCAUUGAUUAAAGUCAGACAUAAAAGCUGGCUUCUUUUUUUCAUUUGUCUUUAUGAACAUAUGAGCACAUUGCAGCCACAUAGUGAGCUGGAGGGUCGCCUGUGCUGCAACUGGCUGAAGCGCUCAUGAAAAUGAUUCACUAUAAUAUUUUGCACUAUAUAAGUGAUACAUAUGUAGAUGUACUGUACUUUAUAUUGCCCAGUGUCUUCCAUGAGUCAGUCUCACAUGUAUUUGUAUUUUUCCCAUCUUUUAUCGUGUGAUUUAUUUUGAAAGGUGACACAGAUUGCAUUAACACUGUCAACAACAUUUGAGUCUAUUUGUAAAAGAGGACCCACCAUCUGUAAAUAAAUGCUCUUUAAACAUUUAGAAAAAGGACAGAAGUCAGAAAGAGUACCUUUUCGUGUGCUGCAGGAUAUUUUGGGGCUUUUGAUUAUACUGCAAAACUUAUUACAGGCGAUUUGCAGAUAAUGCCAGCUGUUGGGCAUUCUUUGUGACUCCCAUUGUGUCCUCAGUUAUCAUUGAAUGAAUGAAUGAUGAUACAUCCCUGUUUUAAUUUUGUACUGUAAAGCUUGUCUUGUAUACAAUUGAAUGUCUGACCCAGAAAGACAGAGACCCUGGAGCAGAUGCUGUUUAACUUCUGGUAUGAAUGCAAUGCAGUGAGUGAACAAGUGGGUGUUGUUGUUUUUCCCGGUAUUACAGAGACACUGUUGAGAGAUACCAAAGCUCAUGGCAUGAAGUAUGUUUGCCACCGCACAACACACAUUUAUCAUUUACUUGUGACACACAGACACAGAAAAAUAUUUUUCAAAUAGCUUCACUACUUGGACCCCAAAUAAACAUUUUAAAGUUUUACUUUUUCAUAUUCCUACAUGGAACGUAUAGGAACUAUAGACCAAGCUGGACCCUUAAUGGUCAGCAUACCAUACAAAAUGACAGCAGAAGGUAGCUAAAUGCAUCUGCUACGUUGUAUAGAUUAUAACCUGCAACCAGGUUGUCCUGUUGUCCUGAGAUGAUAACAGUCUGUAAUCUGAUGCAUUGCGAAUGUUAAGCUCUUGAGCCGCUUAAAACCACUUGUGGUGUAAAAUUCAUACUCAUCUGAUAAUGUGGACAGAACAACAUACUGACAUUAAUAGCCUGGUCAGAAAUUACCUCUAUUUUGUAGCACUUAUUAGGCACUGUUUUUCAAAACUCCCAACUGAAAUAAGUAAGUUGUUGUUGUCCUCAUUGGGAAUUGUAUUCAUUAACAUUUGAAUAACAUCUUAUUCAAGUACCUGUGAAUAUGUAUGAUAUUCAUAAUUUGAAUCUACUGUGCAUAGAUUAAACACUCUUUACAAUCCAUUUAGAGGUCCUAUUGAAAUCCACGUAAUCCUAUGGUAUGAUACUGCUUGUGACUGAGUACUACACCCUAAUAAGUCUUGAUUUGUGUCUAAAUACUAUAAUGACCAGGUCUGUCUAGUCAACAACAAACACUAUUUCUGCAUGUUCUUCACUUAAAUACAAAAACAUUGUAGUGAAAAUAAAAUAAACAAAUGCUUGUUCCUAGGGAUGAGGUCAAUUAUAGUUUGUCAGAACACUUUUAAUCACAUUUCAAUUUAGAUUGACCCGUCCCCGACCCUCAGUGCACUAGUUCAUAUAAACAUAUUUAUUUGUGAAACACUAAAUUAGUUCUCCUGAGCCUGGCAGCUCUAUUCAAACAUCAAGGCUAUAACAAGUUCAGCUUCAGUCCUUAAUUGCUUUUACCAAUAGACUGGUAUGGGAACAGAGGAGAAAAAAGGAAAUACAUUACAUUGAAACUGGCCCAGUACAAGUGUUUGACUGGAUCUGUGUGUAGACCUUUUAAUCAGCAAGUCAAUAAUCUCAUAUCCUAUAAGAGGAUUCCUUUUCCAAGCCAAGUUAUGUCAGACAAUAAAAUGGCUGUUGAGUUCUUUUAUAGAAUGAAUGUCUUCUCUACGAUCACCAUCACUAUAUUCUUGUCAGUGUUAUUGUAUAUAAUUGUUCUCCAUGUGUAGUUGUAACAUAAUUCAUGUAAUUGAAUAUAUGUCAAAGUGAGCUUGUGGCCUUGAUUCUAAUAGGCUAAGAGAGACCACAGACACCUGUUGUCCACUCUGACAGGAAGCAUGUUAACGUCUUAAAGUCCUUAUCCUCUUUAAACACCCCACACCCUCUUUGUUCUCCUGCAGCACAGAGGUCUCUGUGUCAUUACAAUCUGGCAAUAAACAAUUAACAAUAA